rnacentral:lncRNA from 1 species
CCAUCCACAGUGACUUUCUUCUAUUGGCUCAGGCAGUCAUGAACAAACAUGAUCUGAAGGGCCAACAGAGGAGCUCAGGUAAAUGUAAGGAUGUAGUUCGUGAUACCAGAGUUUUUAUGGAUGGUAAUACAGUGUGGGGUAGUUCUUUUCCCUGAAGAUUUCUUGCAGACAGCAAAUGUCAUCCACCUUAGAUGGAGUGGCUGGAGAUCAGAGGGAUGUAACUGGGCCUACCAAGGAUUGCCCAAGAUUGACAUCGAGUAGCUGCAUUGUGAUUGUGGUUCUCCAGCUUGUAGAUGAAGUCACCAAAAUGGUUGCCCUGCAUAUAAUUGAUACUCUGUUGAGUAUCAGUGCCCUUUGGACAGAUCAUCUCUGAAAAUACCAGACUAGAGCUCCUGCUCUGGCUACUCAUGUGUUGGUGUUGAUCACCCAUGGUUGCUCCCCUCUGGAACAUCAUCCAAAGCAAGCAGGUGACUCAAGGCUGGAGGAGUUAUAGAACGACCUCACAGAGCAUGCAGGACUACUCUUUCCUCACCUGCUCAGUCUACUCACUUGAGUCUGACUCACAGAGCCAGAAGGAUGGAAAAUCCUUCAUCAACUUUGAUUCAGAGGAAGAAAUACUCUAUCCCCACCCUGGAACCUGGGAUUACUCACUGAAAGAGUGUCUGAGGGUAGGAACAAAGUGUAUCUUUUCCCCGUUGUAUCUAUAAGGCUCAGUGUAUGGUAAACACUCAAUACAAUUGACUGUCCUCUCCUUCCCAGUUAUCUCCUACUAUUGGAAACUUCACCAUACUACUUUUGAGAAGACAUGGGAAGAUUUAGCAGUUUAUAAUUUAUAAUCCAGCCCUCAAAAUACCGGGAAAGUAUGUCUUUAGAGAGCUUUAUAAAUAAGCCUCAUAUAGGGUUUAUGCCCAGCCUGGAAGUUUAAUGGAAUGGUUUAACACUCACAGACGAUUAUUGGGCUGAUAUGCUUCAAAUAAAUUCCCUCUUCUGUGAUAGUAACA